AUACGGAGGGUGCAAGCGUUGUUCGGAUUCACUGGGUAUAAAGGGUGCGUAGGCGGCCUUGUAAGUCAGAGGUGAAAGCUGCCGGCUUAACUGGCAAAUUGCCUUUGAGACUGCAAGGCUUGAGUCCGGGAGAGGAAGGCGGAAUUCCAGGUGUAGCGGUGAAAUGCGUAAAUAUCUGGAGGAACACCGGUGGCGAAGGCGGCCUUCUGGUCCGGUACUGACGCUGAGGCACG
rnacentral:rRNA from 1 species